ensembl:lncRNA
CUCUGUCUCUCUCUCUCUCCGCGGUUCGUCCUUAGGCCCGCGCCUUAACCGUAUCACCACAUUAUGCAAGUCCCCCCCCCCCCCCUUUCCUCUAUUCGCCAUGUAUGCAAUCUCAAUAUACGCUCGGCCCAGGGUGGUCUACAGGGCAGCAGAACUGAGAACUGAGACCCCCCCCCUUUGUUCUGUCCCUGGAUGGAUGCCAGGGACAGCACCAAUCCAUCCAAACAACGGUUAAUUGUAACGGCUUACCUGAUUACCUGAAACGUUGCCAUGUGAGCCCAGUGACCUGUGCUCGGUUGCUGUUCUGUGGGGGGGGGGUUUGGUGCCUGGCUAGUCAUUCAGUAGCCACAUACACACACAAACACACAACUCAAGGCAGAAACACCACAAACAGCACUGACCUUUCAGCAGUCAGACAGGUUUAAUGUUUAUCUAUGGGCCUAGUGUUGAGAGCGAGAGACAGUUCAAGAUGGCAACCAGUUGACGAAGGCCUGUGGAUGUCAGUUGGUUUAAUAAUAGCUUCUGUUUCUAAUGUAUUGCACACAGCUACGGCCUCGCGUGCAAAACAUUAAAAAACAAAACGUUGACACUGAAGUGAGAUUUCCAAAUGAUCUGGCUGAAUCCCUUUGAGUUCAGUGAGCGUCACUGAUGAUGUUUCUCCCCUGCGAAAGCGUCAACCCGCUCAUGGCCUGAGCAGCACGGGGCCUAGGGUGGCUUUCUGCUCUAGACUAGCAUCCCCAUGACAACAACAUUCCACUACUUUUAGUGACCUCUCCUCCCCCUCCAUGUAGAUACCUGUACAUUAACACAACCUUCCCUCCCUCCCCCUUUAUUAAAGCUCUCCCCUCCCACAUGUUUUUAUUUUUAUAACUUUUCUUCAUUUUUAAGCGAACAAAUGCCUUAUUAACACUUAGCAGCAGCAGAAGCAUUUGAUGCUAGGUGCCUGACCUCCUAGGGGCCAAGGUGGAGUCCUCAGUGUGGACUGACUGUAGAUGCUUCCGGAGCCUUCUAGUCUCUAGUUCAUGUGUCGCUGUUUCUGCCAUAGAUUGAAUGGUUUAUGAGGGAUAUGAUCUCACAAUGGAUUUUAAUAUGCCCUGAAUUAUGUAUUCAAUAUAUAACGUUUGUUUAGAUUCUCCUUUGAAUGGCCCAACAGAGAGACAACCUCUCACACACUUCAAACCCCAAAACAAAAGAUAAGAUACUGUAAUUAUGACAGAUGAGCGGUUUGGAUAUUUCGCCUCGCAAUAUUCCCAAUUUCGGGAAACAAAAAGGUAUGUCUACAAAACUUAAAUGUAUUAAUCCACUGAUAUUAAUCGUAUAUUGGCAAUCAAAUAAUUGACGAGUGAAGUCAGGAUCUUGAAUGUGUUUUACAGACAGGGUGAGAAAGUGCAGACAAACGGUAGAUGGCCAUCGCAUCUCUGUUAGCCCUCUAACAACUCCUUACAUUAUAUGGACGUUUCUUUUUUUAUCUUAACCUUUGCUUAAACUAUAAUACGCUUGCAUGUGAUUUAUGAUACUUUACUUUAGUUGCUAUGGUCAUGUCCAGGUAACAAUGAUUCUGCUAUGCACUAAAACCUAUUGCCUUUAACAUGAGAGCGGAGAGGGAGACCUCAUUGCCUAUAGAUGUAGACUGUAAACAUGCGUUUUGGGUCGGCUUGUGAUGGAGAAAGCUGCUGGCUACAUAGGGAUUGUUGCAGUGUUUGUGUGUGUGUGCACACGCAUGGUUUAAUACCAAAUGUGCUGAAAAAAAUGAAAGGAAAAAAAAGAAAGGAAUAACGCAACAUUAAACCAAGCACAUUGAUCUUUUUUUUUUUUUAGGCUAUGCAAAACCACAAGAAGCCAGGGAUGUUUGACAUCGAAUAAAAACUGUAAAUAUUCCUAAUGAACUCCCUCAUGUGUAAAGGAUACACUUUAAAAGAGAGAGUAUAAAGUGACGGUGUGUCUGCGUGGUCAGGUAGAAUGCCUUAACUCCUCCUUGUACACCGGUUCCCUGAAGUCCGUAUUGUAUUCCCUUCCCAGAGUUCCGUCUCAGAAAUCAUUCAAUAGUAAUAAUAUGAAACUUUGUAAGAAUUGUAGGGAUUUGUUGUUCGGGGGGGUGGUGUGGAGAAAGGUGUCUUUUCGGAAUACGAGCUGGUGGUGUGAUCUGAAAGACUUCAGGAAUUAACGAAUAAUCAAUAUUGAUAUUAACAAACACCAGCAUUCACAGGAAGCGCUUGCUGCCGCGCUCUCCUCUGUUGUCACAACCAAAGAUUGAACCUUUGUUCCCAUUUGACACGAUGGUAAGAACAGCAAAGACUGCAGAACUCUAUUUUUGAUAUGUUUGAAAUGGAUGUCAUUCCUAAAAAAAAAAGAAAAGUUGGGGACAUUUAAAUAUAUAAAUAUAUAAAUACGUUUUUGUAAGAUAAAAGGGAAAUACAGGUUUAGCUGAUGUUUACCAAGCC